rnacentral:rRNA from 1 species
UACGUAGGUGGCAAGCGUUGUCCGGAUUUAUUGGGUUUAAAGGGUGCGUAGGCGGCUUUGUAAGUCAGUGGUGAAAUACGGCAGCUCAACUGUCGAGGUGCCAUUGAUACUGCAGAGCUAGAGUACUGAUGAGGUAGGCGGAAUGGACGGUGUAGCGGUGAAAUGCGCAGAUAUCAGGAGGAACACCGGUGGCGAAGGCGGUGCUCUGGGCCGAAACUGACGCUGAGGCGCGAAAGCCAGGGGAGCAAACGGG